UGGGGAAUAUUGGACAAUGGGCGAAAGCCUGAUCCAGCAAUGCCGCGUGUGUGAAGAAGGUCUUCGGAUUGUAAAGCACUUUCGGCGGGGACGAUGAUGACGGUACCCGCAGAAGAAGCCCCGGCUAACUUCGUGCCAGCAGCCGCGGUAAUACGAAGGGGGCUAGCGUUGCUCGGAAUGACUGGGCGUAAAGGGCGCGUAGGCGGUUUGCCAAGUUAGAUGUGAAAUUCCUGGGCUUAACCUGGGGACUGCAUUUGAUACUGGCAGGCUUGAGUGUGGAAGAGGGUCGUGGAAUUCCCAGUGUAGAGGUGAAAUUCGUAGAUAUUGGGAAGAACACCGGUGGCGAAGGCGGCGACCUGGUCCAUAACUGACGCUGAGGCGCGAAAGCGUGGGGAGCAAACAGGAUUAGAUACCCCCGUAGUCC
rnacentral:rRNA from 1 species